rnacentral:rRNA from 1 species
GACGAACGCUGGCGGCGUGCUUAACACAUGCAAGUCGAACGGAAAGGCCCUGCUUUUGUGGGGUGCUCGAGUGGCGAACGGGUGAGUAACACGUGAGUAACCUGCCCUUGACUUUGGGAUAACUUCAGGAAACUGGGGCUAAUACCGGAUAGGAGCUCCUGCUGCAUGGUGGGGGUUGGAAAGUUUCGGCGGUUGGGGAUGGACUCGCGGCUUAUCAGCUUGUUGGUGGGGUAGUGGCUUACCAAGGCUUUGACGGGUAGCCGGCCUGAGAGGGUGACCGGCCACACUGGGCCUGGGGUACGGCCCAGACUCCUACGGGCGGCAGCCGUCGGGAAUAUUGCACAGUGGGCGGAUGCCUUAUGCAGCAACGCCGCGUGCGUGAUGACGGCCUUCGGGUUGUAAACCGCUUUCGCCUGUGCCGAAGCGUGAGUGACGGUAAUGGGUAAAGAAGCACCGGCUAACUACGUG